GCCGCGACGAGCCAGGCGGCGGCGGCAACGGCGGCAACGGCGGCAACGGCUCCUGCGAGCGGGGAGGGCAAAUGAGCCGGAUGUACAGGGUAACGGCGAGGAGGGGGAAGGGGCAACGCCUGGAAGUGAACGCCGCGGGCCUGUCCGGCCGUGCGCACGCGCCGCGCGCCCGCCGCGCCAGGUAAACCGUCUUCCUUCCCCGCCCCCUUUGCUCCCGCCCCGCCCCUAGGGGGCGGGGCGGGGCCGGAGACAGGCGGUCUGGAAGGCUCCGCGAGGAGAGGAAGGGGACGCGGCUACCUUCUCCGCUACCCCGCCCUCCUUAAAGGGGCAGCAUCUUAAAGGCUGAGACGGCUUCUGGGUGGACCCGCGUCUUGCAGCCUUCUCAUUUUACAGAUGGAAAACUGAGGCUUGUCCAAGAUCACACAAAACUGAAAGUGAGAAGAUAGUCACCUAUGGACCAGAAAGCAGGCCCUCACCAAACUUCAAACCUGCCAGCCUGGAUCGUGGGAUUCCCACCUCCACAACUGGUGAAGAACACGAACACAGGGAGUUAGAGUCCCACAUGCUGAUAACUCCAUCAAGAGAGAAGAAAGGUUUUUCUCUUCCAGCUGCAGAAUGAGAACCUCCAGGGAAGGAGUAAUAAUAAAAUAGGUCCAGUCUGAGUCUUAAAAAAGGAAGCAAAUAUAAUAGCUCCAAACAUGAUUACAGGUAAGGCAAAAAUACUGGAGAGGGUGGCCAUUUCCUCCUCCGAGGUCCUUCCAGAGCCAGAUAUCAAACCCAUGUAUUUUGUAUCUCUUGCAUUGACAGAUGGAUUCUUUACCGCUGGGCCACCUAGGAAGCCCCAUGGGUAAACUGAAAAAUGAAACUCCUGGACUUGCAAACCCAAGAGCAAAACCAUAGCUUCCUAAUCAGUUUAUUUCCCAGGAAGCCCUCUCUUAACUGUAAACUGUGAGCUCCUUGGGAGUGUCUUUCUUCCUUUUUAGCUGACCUAGUUACUGCUCAGUCAUAAUUUGUUACAUAAUUGAAAGAGUAAAUGGUAAGCCAGCAUGUUUAAAUGAUUGUUCUAUAGUCCAACUCAGCAAUAUGGAUCAUAUUUGGAGGAUUUUGAGUUUUUCUUUUUCUGAAAGAUGAAUCAUUUGAAACAAAAAGAAUGUAAUAAAACAACAUGACUAUUAAUCUCUAGUGUCUUAGAAACAUCUUUAUUAACAUUUUGUUUUCUUGAUGAAUACAAUUCUCAGAAAAAUUAUUCAGAAUUUUAUAACACUGU